rnacentral:rRNA from 1 species
UACGUAGGGUCCAAGCGUUGUCCGGAUUUAUUGGGCGUAAAGAGCUCGUAGGCGGCUUAGUAAGUCGGAUGUGAAAACUCGGGGCUCAACCCCGAGACGCCAUCCGAUACUGCCGUGGCUAGAGUCCGGUAGGGGAGCGUGGAAUUCCUGGUGUAGCGGUGAAAUGCGCAGAUAUCAGGAGGAACACCAGUGGCGAAGGCGGGUCUCUGGGCCGAUACUGACGCUGAGGAGCGAAAGCGUGGGGAGCGAACAGG